AGCGAACGCUGGCGGCAGGCCUAACACAUGCAAGUCGAACGAACUCUUCGGAGUUAGUGGCGGACGGGUGAGUAACACGUGGGAACGUGCCUUUAGGUUCGGAAUAACUCAGUGAAACUUGUGCUAAUACCGAAUGUGCCCUUCGGGGGAAAGAUUUAUCGCCUUUAGAGCGGCCCGCGUCUGAUUAGCUAGUUGGUGAGGUAAAGGCUCACCAAGGCGACGAUCAUUAGCUGGUCUGAGAGGAUGAUCAGCAACAUUGGGACUGAGACACGGCCCAAACUCCUACGGGAGGCAGCAGUGGGGAAUCUUGCGCAAUGGGCGAAAGACUGACGCAGCCAUGCCGCGUGAAUGAUGAAGGUCUUAGGAUUGUAAAAUUCUUUCACCGGGGACGAUAAUGACGGUACCCGGAGAAGAAGCCCCGGCUAACUUCGUG
rnacentral:rRNA from 1 species